rnacentral:rRNA from 1 species
GACGAACGCUGGCGGCGUGCUUAACACAUGCAAGUCGAACGAAGUGGCGAACGGGUGAGUAACGCGUAAUUAACCUGCCCUUCAGAGGGGGACAACAGUUGGCAACGACUGCUAAUACCGCAUACUGAAGGAGGGUAUUGCGUCUGAUUCGCUAGUUGGAGGGGUAACGGCCCCCCAAGGCGAUGAUCAGUAGCCGGGCUGAGAGGAUGAACGGCCAAAUUGGGACUGAGACACGGCCCAGACUCCUACGGGAGGCAGCAGUGGGGGAUAGUGCACAAUGGGCGAAAGCCGUAUGCAGCGACGCGGCGUGAGUGAUGACGGCCUUCGGGUUGUAAAGCUCUGUUAAUCGGGACGCGGUACCGGAAUAGAAAGCCACGGCUAACUACGUGCCAGCAGCCGCGGUAAUUC